CCUACGGGGGGCAGCAGUGAGGAAUAUUGGUCAAUGGACGAGAGUCUGAACCAGCCAAGUAGCGUGAAGGAUGACUGCCCUAUGGUUGGUAAACUUCUUUUAUAAAGGAAUAAAACGAGUCACGUGUGCCUUUUUGCAUUUACUUUAUGAAUAAGGAUCGGCUAACUCCGUUCCAGCAGCCGCGGUAAUGCGGAGGAUCCGAGCGUUAUCCGGAUUUAUUGGGUUUAAAGGGAGCGUAGAUGGGUUGUUAAGUCAGUUGUGAAAGUUUGCGGCUCAACCGUAAAAUUGCAAUUGAUACUGGCAGUCUUGAGUACAGUUGAGGUAGGCGGAAUUCGUGGUGUAGCGGUGAAAUGCUUAGAUAUCACGAAGAACCCCGAUUGCGAAGGCAGCUAACUAAACUGUGACUGACAUUGAUGCUCGAAAGUGUGGGUAUCAAACAGGAUUAGAUACCCUGGUAGUC
rnacentral:rRNA from 1 species